ensembl:lncRNA
AUGGCGCACGUCCCGCAUGCAGGCAGCGAUGGCCCAAGCGCUUUGCGUGCCCAAGUCCACUGCCAUGGGCAGAAGGAACCAGUCACUGUGAGAACAACUGCUGAAUGUGUUCCUGAAUCCCCCCCAGAGCUCCACCCCUUUGUGCUGAAGGCUGGCAGCAGGCCUGCGGCACCUGGAGCCACCGUGCUGCACCAGGGCAGCCCAGCACCACCAACAGCCAGCGGGAUGCGGGCAGCACGUGGGGGUUCCCUGCCCUGUGCUCCAUUCCCACCGCUGCUGGCGCCUGGGGACCCCCAUACAGCCCUUCCAAUGCGUACUGAUGUGGAGCUUGGAGCAAUCAGCAUCCUGUGCUUGAAUUUGGAGUGUGAUCCCACAGGAGAGCAAGCCAGAUAUCAGGGAGAAAUCCUGCAUUGUUGUGCUUGGAAACAGUUCCUUCCUCAGCUGGCAACACGGGGCAGGGAAGGAAGGAGCCGGACUGGUGUGGUAAUAAAUCCAUUGCAUCAGACAACCCAGCUCUAUCCAGCAUCCCCCUUCUCCCAGUCUCUUUUCCCCCCAGGCGCUGGGUGCUGGUUACCAGGACGAACCACCAGCCCACGGCAUCUGUCAGGGCCAGAAACAAGUGCUGCUGGCUGUGACAGCUGUGCUGAGGCUUCGCCAUCAGGCACCGUCAGACACAAGGCUGCGUGAGCGCUGCCAUGCACAGCACUGCAGGAUUUGGAGUCCUGAAAGCUCGUAGCUUCAGGGUAGGGUGUCAGCAGUUAUUUGUGUGCCCGCAUACCCCAGCAAUCCCAGUCCCCACUACCCCAUAGAUGUGACCCCGGUGGGGCAGCACUCAAUACCAUGGCAAAUGCGGCAGGGGAUCAGGACUUCCUCUUCCACUGUCACCCCACCAUAGAUGGGCUCUGUCACAGCAUGAAAAUGCAGCAUACACCUACCCAGCUUCCCGUGUCCUGGCUGAGCACUGCCAACAGGGCCUCACCUUCCCACCUCAGCCUGCCCCACAGCCCCCUCCUCACCCUGGCUGCCCAAGGAAGCGUGCAGGCGUUCAGUGACACUUCCAUGCCUCACUUCCCUGCGGAGCCACACUGCCGCGGAGCAGGAAGCAGCAGGAAACCCCCUGCUCCUGCCAUGUUUCUUAGGACUCACCCCUCCACCAACACAGGUAGAGCUGAGGGGCUCAGGGCUGCCCCUGUGGAAGGGCAGUGCUGGGUGGCUGGGUGCUGCAGGAGCAAGCUCACACAAAGGGAUUAUGUUUCUGAAAUCUUCCCGCUUAACAUUCCUCAACCGGACCUUUCUCAGUUACGCUUUUAUUUUUCAAUGCUCCCGUUUCAGACUCGAGCAUUAAUCUCAGGGUUUAGGGCCUUUGAUUCCGUUUUGGUCUGGUAUGAGGCACCGGGGACGCCAGCCACGGCCUCAGCAGCUGCUCCUGCAAAUGUGUGCUGGGGCCGCGAGCAGCGGGCGCUCGUCUGUCACACUGCUGGGGGCACAGAGGGGUAAUUCGCUCACAUCUCUAAUAAGGGGCUUAUGAAGCAAUUCAUUACGUUCAGCAAUUCCAAGAGUUAUCUCACUUCUAGCACACUACAGAGGACAGCGCAGGGAGCCAUCACCUUCUCCCACAGCCAGGUGAAUAAAGCUUUGUUCAGGUUCA